GCAAGGAUGCUGCUCGGCAAGGAUGCUGCUCCGUUUGUCUUCGAGAGGCACCCUGGUGGCAGAGGAGAGAUUUGGUGGGAGGAGGCCAACCCAGCCAGGCAAUGUUAUCCCGGCUACUCCCUCUCACCUCAGAGCAGCCUUGCUCCUGCAUGAGUUGCAUCAGCCCUGCAAAGCGCUCGGGGUUUCCGUGGGUUACACAGGUCACGCCGAAGUGCGGCGGCAUCGGACAGCAGAGGGAGCUCGGGGAGAGGAAGAAAAGCAGGCGAAGCCUGGCAGCAGCUGCCCCAGGAGAGGAGCGAGGGGUUUCGCACUGCUAUCUGCGGGGGCUCUGCUGCACCCAGAAUGAUUGGUGGUUUCUUUGCUCCACGGGAGAAUAGGAAGCUACAGAGAAGGUGAAGCAUCAGAAAGACAAGGCAAGGAGAGAGUGCCAUCUUCUAGCCAGGAAGUUCAGAAGCUGGGACAGAGUCAUGGCUCUGGAAGCUCUGGCCUAGCAAGGUCUCCAAGUCACAGUGCUUUUGGCAUAGAGGUUACUGUGCCAGGCGUUUGAAAACAAGCAUAAUGGUGAAGUGUCUUCAGAAAAGUGGUAAUGUGAGUCUGGAUGACUGUUUAAGAGGGAGUUAUAGCAAAGAAAAUUGGAUAGCACAAAUUUAGAAAAACAAAAAAUGAUGGAAUUAUAAAUGAACAUGAUAGGGACAAUGUUGUUUUGCAGUGCUUUUUGUUGUGGAAAACCAGGCUGCUUUGGUUCUCUUGGUGUCUUUGGGAUUGUCAGUCAAGGUAGCUAAUGGAGAAUUGUCUGACAUAAUUAGACUUUCCAAAAGCUUUGUCAUUGCAUGCUCAUGACGAGACACACUGAGCUG